rnacentral:rRNA from 1 species
GCGGAGGGAUCAUUGUUGGAACGCGCUCCGGCGCACCUCCAGACAACCCUUUGUGAACUUAUACCUAUACUGUUGCCUCGGCGUCAGGCUGGCUCCCCUCGGGGGGUCCCUCACCAUCUCGGUGAGGAGCAGGCCCGCCGGCGGCCAAGUUAACUCUUGUUUUUACACUGAAACUCUGAGAAUAAAACAAAAAUGAAUCAAAACUUUCAACAACGGAUCUCUUGGUUCUGGCAUCGAUGAAGAACGCAGCGAAAUGCGAUAAGUAAUGUGAAUUGCAGAAUUCAGUGAAUCAUCGAAUCUUUGAACGCACAUUGCGCCCUCUGGUAUUCCGGAGGGCAUGCCUGUUCGAGCGUCAUUUCAACCCUCAAGCCUGGCUUGGUGAUGGGACACUGCCUUUGAGAAAAGGCAGGUCCUGAAAUUCAGUGGCGAGCUCGCCAGGACCCCGAGCGCAGUAGUUAAACCCUCGCUUUGGAAGGUCUUGGUGCGGCCCUGCCGUUAAACCCCCAACUUCUGAAAAUUUGACCUCGGAUCAGGUAGGAAUACCCGCUGAACUUAAGCAUAUCAAUAG